rnacentral:rRNA from 1 species
AGUAAGACGUAAGGAACCUGCCCCUACUGCCUGGGAUAACUCUGGGAAACGAGAGCUAAUACCGGAUAGGUGAACGGAAGACAUCUUCGGUUCAUGAAAGAUGGGGAACAUCACAGAGGGAUGGCCUUACGGCGCAUUAGCUAGUUGGAGAGGUAGAGGCUCACCAAGGCGAUGAUGCGUAGCCGGCCUGAGAGGGUGAACGGCCACAUUGGGACUGAGACACGGCCCAGACUCCUACGGAAGGCAGCAG